rnacentral:rRNA from 1 species
AGAGCGAACGCUGGCGGCAGGCCUAAUACAUGCAAGUCGAACGGAUCCUUCGGGAUUAGUGGCGGACGGGUGAGUAACACGUGGGAACGUACCCUUUGGUUCGGAACAACUCAGGGAAACUUGAGCUAAUACCGAAUGUGCCCUUCGGGGAAAAGAUUUAUCGCCAUUGGAGCGGCCCGCGUCUGAUUAGCUAGUUGGUAGGGUAAAGGCCUACCAAGGCUACGAUCAGUAGCUGGUCUGAGAGGAUGAUCAGCCACACUGGGACUGAGACACGGCCCAGACUCCUACGGGAGGCAGCAGUAGGGAAUCUUGCGCAAUGGGCGAAAGCCUGACGCAGCCAUGCCGCGUGAAUGAUGAAGGUCUUAGGAUUGUAAAAUUCUUUCAGCGGGGACGAUAAUGACGGUACCCGCAGAAGAAGCCCCGGCUAACUUCGUGCCAGCAGCCGC